CAAGACACAUAAGUUUAUCCUUUAUCAUUCAAAGAUUAUAUGGGCAAUCGAACUCAUGAAGUAAACUUUUAAGAUGACGUAGGGGAGACAGCUUUUCCUGUUGGUGUCAAAACAGUUCCUCAAUGGAAGAAUGAAACUGGCGUUCUCCACGUUUUCUCUCCGGCAACAAAACACUUGAAUGUGUGUGAAAUACUGUACUUUUAGGAUAAUUCCGAUAGCAUGUUUGGCAGCAUCACUCCACAUUCGGAGCAGAUUACUACCACACAACAGCUGAAGAAUAGAGUUAAACUAACAGCUUACUGUUCUUCACUUCAACAGAUGCAGCUGGUUGCUUACAGGUGAGCGGGAGGUUUGUGUCAGGACUGCACAGGUGAAGCCAACGCUGUCAAGGAACACAGACACAGGGAAACAACAUUACACUUGUAAUGAUAGUGUAUCAGUUUGAUAGAACUGAAUUCAUGAAUAAUUUACUCUUGGCUCCCUUUGCCAGCAAUAAGUUGGCCCAGUGCCCAUCCAGGCACCAGCAGAAUGGAGGACAGGGCCAGCAGCCAUCCGAGUGCAUACGCCCAGCUCGGGUACACAUAUGAGCGGUUGAAAGUCAGGGGCUUGAAUUUAACCAGAGAGCAGAUGAGAGAAACCUGAGAUUGGUAGAAAAGAAAGUGAAAGUGGGGUGGGAUAAGUUUAACUGAAGCAGAUCAGCUCUGUGUCAAAUUAAAUGCUUCAGUAUAAAAACAAUUCUCCAAUCCAAGCAUCACGCUUUCAAAACAUUUAAAGGGAUAGUUUACCAAAAACAAAAAUUGUUAUCAUUCAAUCAACCUCAUGUUGUUUCAAACCCAUAUGACUUUCUUCUGUUGAACACAAAAAGAGAUGCCAAGCAGAAUAUUAGUCUCUUAGGCACCAUUUAAUUUAAUUUCAUCUUUAUUCCAUACAAUGGAAAUGAACAGUAAUUGAGACUAACAUUCUUCUGAACUUAUCCUUUUGUGUUCAACAGAACAAAGAAAGUCAUGAUUUUUUUAAUAAUAUUUUUACAGUAUUUUUCAUUUGUAUAUGUGUGUCUAUGCUGAAUAUGUUAUGUCAUAAAUAGGUAAUACAUCUAUACUGUUGAGUUCAAUGUUAGUAUUUGCAUUUUAGAAAAUAGUUCACCCCAUGCCAUCCCAGAUGUGACUUUCUUCUGCAGAACACAAAUGGAGAUUUUUUGAAUAAUAUUUCAACUCUGUUGGUUCUUACAAUGCAAGUGUAGGGUGACCAGAAAUAAGAAGGUCCAAAAAGGACAUAAAG